rnacentral:rRNA from 1 species
AGUGAACGCUGGCGGUAGGCCUAACACAUGCAAGUCGAACGGCAGCACAGUAAGAGCUUGCUCUUACGGGUGGCGAGUGGCGGACGGGUGAGGAAUACAUCGGAAUCUACUUUUUCGUGGGGGAUAACGUAGGGAAACUUACGCUAAUACCGCAUACGACCUACGGGUGAAAGCAGGGGAUCUUCCGACCUUGCGCGAUUGAAUGAGCCGAUGUCGGAUUAGCUAGUUGGCGGGGUAAGGGCCCACCAAGCCGACGAUCCGUAGCUGGUCUGAGAGGAUGAUCAGCCACACUGGAACUGAGACACGGUCCAGACUCCUACGGGAGGCAGCAGUGGGGAAUAUUGGACAAUGGUCGCAAGCCUGAUCCAGCCAUACCGCGUGGGUGAAGAAGGCCUUCGGGUUGUAAAGCCCUUUUGUUGGGAAAGAAAAGCAGCAGGUUAAUACCCCGAUGUUCUGACGGUACCCAAAGAAUAAGCACCGGCUAACGUCG